UGAUGACAAGCAGAAGGCAGGCAGACAGGCAGGCCAGAGCGGCGUGAGUGAGCUAUACAGGAAGGCAGUUAGCCCGUGGCCAGCCUAAGAAGGUGAUAGCAUGGGACUUAAUGGGAAAUGGAGGAAGGCCAUGCCAUACAUGGCGAUGGUCUUCCUACAGUUCGGCUUCGCCGGGCUGUUCCUCAUCUCCGUCGCGUCGCUACGGCAAGGCAUGAGCCACUACGUGCUCGUCGUAUACCGGAAUGCCGUCGCCGCCGUCGUCAUGGCACCAUUCGCGCUCUGGUUCGAGAGGAAAACAAGGCCCAAAAUGACGCUUUCUGUGUUUUUCAAGAUUAUGGCUCUGGGACUACUCGAGCCUGUGCUUGACCAAAACUUCUUCUAUAUGGGAGCCAAGAACACGUCGGCGAGCUUCUCAUCAGCACUCACCAACAUAUUACCUGCUGUAACGUUUGUAAAUGCCAUCAUACUGAGGAUGGAGAGAAUAAGCAUCAAGGAACGACGAAGUCAGGCAAAAAUAGCGGGCACACUGAUAACAGUGGGGGGAGCUAUGCUUAUGAUACUCUUCAAGGGCCCUGUCAUCAAUUUUCCGUGGACCAAGAAUGCCAAUCACAACAUCUCUGAUAGUAGUGACCACAAUAAUGGCCACUGGCUUAUGGGUAUCUUUAUGAUUUUGCUAAGCUGCUUUUGCUGGUCUGCCUUCUUCAUUCUACAAUCAUACACACUGAGGGGUUACCCAGCAGAGCUUUCUCUAACCACACUGAUAUGCGCCAUGGGUGUAGCACAGAGUGGGGCGGUCGCCCUAGUCAUGGAGCGUGAUAUCAAGGCCUGGUUAAUUGGCUUUGAUAUGAGGCUUUUUACAGCUGUCUACUCUGGCAUAAUGUGUUCUGGAGUGGCUUAUUAUGUGCAAGGUAUGGUUAUAAAGGAGAGGGGUCCCGUAUUUGUCACUGCCUUUAGCCCUCUUUGCAUGAUUAUAGUGACUAUUUUGGGAUCUUUCAUUCUUUGUGAGGUUGUUACCUUGGGAAGGGUGAUUGGUGCAAUAAUUAUUGUUGUGGGCCUGUAUGCUCUCAUUUGGGGCAAGAACAAGGACCAUGGCAAUCAAGUUGAUCAAGAUGACAAUUUUGAGAAGCAGAAAACUUUUGAGCUACCAUUGUCCACGACUAAUGUUAACGAAGCACGUAGUCCUAAUCAUAUUUAACUGUCAAGUUGACAGCAUCGACAACGAAAGCUUCAGGCAAUUAAUUUACUACAUGGUGACUUCAAUGUAUCUCUUGAUAUUCUCGGUUUCAUUUCCUUGGUAAUGGAUGUAUCUGGUCAAUUCAACAAAGUCUACCAAAAUGUUCUUGUCUAAUUUAUGUUCAACUUAUAACUUAUUGAUUAUCACACGUCCUACAUAUGUAGUGGAAGGGUUUUCAGGUGCGAGUUCUAUGCGUGUACCAUGCAAAUUAGUCCCCUAAUCAGUUGUUAACACUCCACAGAAUAAGGCCCCCAACCAUCUCAUGUCUCUUGAGAACAGAAUGGGCUAACACUGCCGGUUCGUGAGGGUGGUUUCCUUGUUGACAGGAAACACUAUCGACUUUUUAGGUUUUCGGUUCCACGUAAAAACUUUUCACCCUGUCAUAUUGAAUGUUUAGACACAUGCAUGGUAUAUUAAAUAUAGAAAAAAACUAGUUACACAGAUUGCGUGUAAAUUACGAGAUGAAUUUUUUAAGCCUAAUUGCUUCAUGAUUUGACAAUAUGGCGCUAUAGUAAAUAUUUGCUAAUGACUGAUUAAUUAGACUUAAUAAAUUCGUCUCGCAGUUUACAGGCGGAAUCUGUAAUUUGUUUUAUUAUUAGUCUACGUUUAAUAUUUCAAAUAUGUGUCUGUAUAUCCGAUGUGACACGCUAAAACUUUUCAACGCUAAAAUUUUCCACCGCUAAAACUAGGAGCGUUUUACAGUCCCCCCCCCCCCCCCCCCCCCCCCCGCACACACUUAUACGAGCAGUAGUGUGGUAGGAUCAUAUCUGACCGUUGAUUGUCGUGGGCAUUUUAGCCCUUUUCUUAAUUUUGGCGGCAGGGUAUUUCGGUAAAUCGCGUUCCCGGUGUUUUCUCUGUUCGUUACUCCCGAGUCCCGACCCGCAUUCCUCUGUUCGCCGCCGCCAUCUCCCUCCUCGUAUUGUUCACGCGAGGACGCCGCCGCGCUGCUCCUCCACCAGAGCGGUGAAAAGCCGCCGUUGUCCCCCUCCACUGUUGUCCACCUUAGGCAUCAAAGUCCCGGCGCCGACGAACUGUGCGGCACCUGGCGCUUUGCUGCCCCUCGCCGGCCUCUUCGCUUCCCCCGCCCCCGCCGGACACCUCGCUGCCCCAGGCCAAGAUUCUCGGUGAUCUCCCCGCCGGCCGCCUGCCCUCCUUGUGCAUGGAGUCACCGACCCUCGUCUGAUUUGGAUUCGGAUUCGUCGGCACCUCUCCAUUUGAUUCAGAGGAGUGGAGGCGACAGUAGAAGUUUCCAUACUGGAAUUCGUCAGUGGUUUUGAUAUAUCUGUCAUCUGUGAUCUUCCUAUGCUCGAGGACCAUGGAGAACUUCAGCUUUUCAAUGGCAUUAUUGGUGAGCCAUGCAGCUAGAGGGUUUGUGAUGGCUGUUUGCUUUGAUUCAGUGAUGCAUUAGAAAUUGAAGUUGUCCAUGCACUGACUGAAGAACAUCAAUUCAGAUACUUGAAGCUACUGAACUCAAUAAUGCCUCUUGCUUUGUUUCAUUGUGGAUAAUUGUUCUCCUAUUAGAACAGUAGAGUUUGAGAUAUUAUAUCAUUUAUAUGCAAUGCAAUGUGUUUCAUGUCA